rnacentral:rRNA from 1 species
UACGUAGGGUGCAAGCGUUAAUCGGAAUUACUGGGCGUAAAGCGUGCGCAGGCGGCUUUGCAAGACAGAUGUGAAAUCCCCGGGCUUAACCUGGGAACUGCAUUUGUGACUGCAUGGCUGGAGUGCGGCAGAGGGGGAUGGAAUUCCGCGUGUAGCAGUGAAAUGCGUAGAUAUGCGGAGGAACACCGAUGGCGAAAGCGGUGGGCUGGGCCGGCACUGACGCUGAGGAGCGAAAGCGUGGGGAGCGAACAGG